rnacentral:rRNA from 1 species
UACGUAGGGUGCAAGCGUUGUCCGGAAUUAUUGGGCGUAAAGAGCUCGUAGGCGGUUCGUCGCGUCGGCUGUGAAAACCCGGAGCUCAACUCCGGGCCUGCAGUCGAUACGGGCGGACUUGAGUGUUGCAGGGGAGACUGGAAUUCCUGGUGUAGCGGUGAAAUGCGCAGAUAUCAGGAAGAACACCCGUGGCGAAGGCGGCUUUCUGGGACGGUACUGACGCUGAGACGCGAAAGCGUGGGGAGCGAACAGG